CGUCGUCUCGCCAAGCCUCAGCUCAUACAUACACCGCUCGAGACAGUGGCUCUCCGGUUGGCUAGCCCGUUCGCGCAGGCAGGGAAGGCCCAACAAAACUGGACAUCUUUGUUCAGGGCACUCAGGACCAUCACUCUACAACAAUAUGUGAAUGCAGCACGACAAACCUUUUUGACAGUGGCUCUUCUCCCUGAUCAAAACCAUUCCCUAGAGAUCACACCUGAAGGGUGCCUAUUUCUGUUAACUUGGACCAAGUGCUUCACGGAAGCCUUCUCGAAAGGCAAGAGUUGGAAUGGGGAUUUCACAUUGGCAGAUUUUAAGGUUUGCCGUGGUCAUGUUCAAAAACAUAAAAAGCCAAAAAAAUUUGGUGAUGAGGGAAUGAAAAAUGAUAUGGAAAAAUUUGUUGAAGAAAUAGAGCUUGUCUUUAGAAGCCGGGAUAGUCGACUGCGUUUCACAUAUCCACCUUACUUCAGUGAUUUUACAUUCCGUCUUAGAAACCUCGAGAUAAUCCAAAAUACAAACAAUGAGGAAGAAAAGUUUCCGGAUGACAGUGGGAUUGAAUUAAUGAUACCUUAUCACCUAGGAGAUUUUAUUGCACGGAUUGUUGCAAAAGUAAUCCUGGAUGGAAUUGACAUCACCGAUGAGCUCAUCAUGAGCUUCAGGGAAGGCCGGACGACUGGUGGUGUUGCUGCUUAACUCCAGUGGCCGGCCUCUCCUAAGAUAACCAAGUACCAUGUCGUAGCAUGAUCAGAAGCUAGCAAGACACCUCGCUCCUUAAUGCCUGGUGCUAAUAAUUAAUUAAAUUCGAGUAGCUUUUUUUAAUGCCAUUGCACUAUCUGUAAGACUAAGUACUCUUAAGCCCGUACGUACUCUGUGAGAUGAUCUGCAGUUAAUUGCUUUUAUCGUGUUGUCGUGUGUCGUGACUAGCUAAACCUAGCUUGCUAGUAUGUAGUACCGUAAUUCCACUUGUCUUGUAAGACUAUUAUUUUCGGUAAUUUCGCUUGUCUUGUAAGACUAUUUAUUUUCAGUAAUUCCUUAAUGAAAAAAUGGAGCUGGGAGUGUUUCCCAGUUCCACAAAAAAAAAAUGUCUCAGCAAU
rnacentral:lncRNA from 1 species